AUGGAGCAGACAGCCACACCUGGGGCCCCAGGGCUCCCCUGUAGCCACAGGCAGGCCCUGGCCCUCUACCAGCACCUCUUUAGAUGCCCUGCAGGCCUGGGCCAGCUCCAGGCUGCAAUGCGGCAGGUGAGGGAGGUAGGGCAAUGCCUCGAAGGGCAAGGCCGAGGCCUGACUCCAUCUCAUCCCCUCAGGUGCAAGAGAGUCGGGCCUAUCGCUCAGGACUGGAGCUGCCCGCUGUGUUGCUGGAGAUGGAGUGGAGCCGGCGGGCCCAAGAGCAGAGUUCCAGGCUGUGCCCAUUGGCCCGGGCUGGGGACCUCUCUGAGCCAGAACCGUCAGCUUCCAGAAGGGGGGCAGGCUGUAGACCCAUCAUCAGCCCCGGAUCUGGAAGAUACCACGAGUGACCGAGACCCAAGGUGGAAGAGCCCUGCUACGCCUGCAGGGCCCACACACGGUUGCUUACAAGAGCUGAACCCCACCACCGGCAGUAGCUUUGGGGAUCCAGGAGGCUCUGAGUUCAAGGACUUGGCCCAGAGGGAAGAGAGGAGACAAGCAGCACCUACAACCCAGAGGCCAUCCACUAGCCUGUGGGGGAGGAAGCUCGCUCAGGGAGCCCCGAGGCCCUCAGGCCUGCCCUCCCAGGGUCUGUCAGAACCCCACGGUCCCCCCGAGGGGCUGAGCUGGAGCCUGGGCCCGGAGAGAGCAGAACUUCAGAAACUGCUGAGGAUAGCGAUUCCUCGGAGGCAGAGAGAGGAGGCUCCAUAAGAGCGGAAAGAGCGCCCCGGGGUUCAGAGGGGGGAGGCCCGCAGUGGGGAGAGCAAGGAAGUUCCUAAGAGACCCGCAGAGAAGAUACAGCAGCGCCAGAGGGGGGAGGCUCCCCAGGGUGAGAGGAGAGAGUCUCCUCAAGGUCAAAGAGGAAACAGCCCAGAGAGCCAGAGAAAAGAGGUCCUCCGGGAGCCGAGGAAGGAGACCCCUCAAACUUCCCCGGGCUGCCUCUCACAAGCCUGGGAGGUGCCUCAGGGAGAGGCGCCUACACAGCCCCCCGGCGGAAGGGGGUCCCUGGGGAUUUCUAGGGAUUUCUGCAGGCCCCUGGGAGAACAGAUGCCGCAGCCUGGGGGAAGGGAGAGCCCUGGCUCCGGGGAAAGGACCACCCAGCUGCCGCAGGACAAAACCGACGGCCAGAGCCGGGUGUCCGCACCGGCCGCAGGAGAGCAGAGGGCCGCCCAGCAGGGGGCGCGGCCUCCCCUUCCACGCGAGGCUCCCGGCGGCCUCCGCUCCCAGGCCCAGGGGCCGAGCCGCUAGCGGCCCCAGGCACUGGGCGCUCGGGGCAGCGGGAGC
rnacentral:lncRNA from 1 species